ACUAGGCUCAUCUGGGUUACUUGUUUGGUCUCUUAUACCUAUUGGAGGACAUUGAUCUUCCGCCAAGGAGCUGUGUUUGACGAUACACCUGGGCCAUCUGCUGGCCAAGGACGCUAACUGCAG